GACGAACGCUGGCGGCGUGCCUAAUACAUGCAAGUAGAACGCUGAAGAGAGGAGCUUGCUCUUCUUGGAUGAGUCGCGAACGGGUGAGUAACGCGUAGGUAACCUGCCUGGUAGCGGGGGAUAACUAUGGGAAACGAGAGCUAAUACCGCAUAAAAUUGAGUAGUGCAUGAUAAUUAAUUGAAAGAUGCAACUGCAUCACUACCAGAUGGACCUGCGUUGUAUUAGCUAGUUGGUGAGGUAACGGCUCACCAAGGCGACGAUACAUAGCCGACCUGAGAGGGUGGUCGGCCACCCUGGGAGUGUGACCCGGCCCAGACUGCUACGGGAGGCAGCAGGAGGGCAUCUUCGGCAAUGGGGGGAACCCUGACCGAGCAACGCCGCGUGCGUGUAGAAGGUUUUCGGAUCGUAAAGCUCUGUUGUCAGGUAAGAACGGGUGUGAGCGUGGAAAGUUCACACUGUGACGGUAUCUUACCAGAAAGGGACGGCUAACUACGUG
rnacentral:rRNA from 1 species